AUUUGAGAGUUUGAUCCUGGCUCAGGAUGAACGCUGGCGGCGUGCCUAAUACAUGCAAGUCGAUCGGAAUGUAGCAAUACAUUAAGAGGCGAACGGGUGAGUAACACGUAGGUAAUCUGCCCCAAGGACUGGGAUACCCAAGCGAAAGUUUGGCUAAUACCGGAUAUGAGGAAACUUAAAAGCAGCGAUAGCUGCACCAUGGGAUGAGCCUGCGGCGCAUUAGCUAGUUGGUGAGAUAAGAGCCCACCAAGGCAAUGAUGCGUAGCCGACCUGAGAGGGUGAACGGCCACAUUGGAACUGAGACACGGUCCAGACUCCUACGGGAGGCAGCAGUAGGGAGUAUUCGGCAAUGGAGGAAACUCUGACCGAGCAACGCCGCGUGAAUGACGAAGGUCUUCGGAUUGUAAAAUUCUGUUAUAUGGGAAGAAAGAUAAGAUAAGGAAAUGUAUUUUAUUUGACCGUACCAUAUGAGAAAGCCACGGCUAACUACGUGCCAGCAGCCGCGGUAAUACGUAGGUGGCAAGCGUUAUCCGGAAUUAUUGGGCGUAAAGAGAGAGCAGGCGGUUAUUCAAGUCUGAAGUGAAAAGCAGUGGCUUAACCAUUGUAGGCUUUGGAAACUAGAUAGCUAGAGUGCAAGAGAGGUUAGCGGAACUCCAUGUGUAGCGGUGAAAUGCGUAGAUAUAUGGAAGAACACCAGUGGCGAAGGCGGCUAACUAGCUUGAAACUGACGCUCAGUCUCGAAAGCGUGGGUAGCAAAUAGGAUUAGAUACCCUAGUAGUCCACGCUGUAAACGAUGAGUACUAGGUGUUGGGGAAACUCAGCGCCGAAGUUAACACAAUAAGUACUCCGCCUGGGUAGUACGUUCGCAAGAAUGAAACUUAAAGGAAUUGACGGGGGCCCGCACAAGCAGUGGAGCAUGUGGUUUAAUUCGACGCUACGCGAAGAACCUUACCAGGACUUGACAUCUGAUUAAAGGCUCUAGAGAUAGAGAGAUAGUUAUAGUCAAGACAGGUGGUGCAUGGUUGUCGUCAGCUCGUGUCGUGAGAUGUUGGGUUAAGUCCCGCAACGAGCGCAACCCUCGUCCUUAGUUGCCAGCAGUAAGAUGGGAACUCUAAGGAGACCGCCGGUAUAAGCCGGAGGAAGAUGGGGAUGACGUCAAAUCAUCAUGCCCUUUAUGUCCUGGGCGACACACGUGCUACAAUGGCCGGUACAAAGAGAAGCAAGACCGCGAGGUGGAGCGAAUCUCAUAAAGCCGGUCUCAGUUCGGAUUGGAGUCUGCAACUCGACUCCAUGAAGUUGGAAUUGCUAGUAAUCGCGAAUCAGCCAUGUCGCGGUGAAUACGUUCCCGGGCCUUGUACACACCGCCCGUCAAACCAUGAGAGCUGGUUUUACUCGAAGUCGUUAUUCUAACCGAAAGGGGGAAGGCGCCUAAGGUAGGACUGGUGAUUGGGGUUAAGUCGUAACAAGGUAUCCCUACGGGAACGUGGGGAUGGAUCACCUCCUU
rnacentral:rRNA from 1 species